rnacentral:rRNA from 1 species
AUUGAACGCUGGCGGAAUGCUUUACACAUGCAAGUCGAACGGCAGCACGGACUUUGGUCUGGUGGCGAGUGGCGAACGGGUGAGUAAUACAUCGGAACGUGCCCAGUCGUGGGGGAUAACGUAGCGAAAGCUACGCUAAUACCGCAUACGAUCUAAGAAUGAAAGCGGGGGAUCGCAAGACCUCGCGCGAUUGGAGCGGCCGAUGGCAGAUUAGGUAGUUGGUAGGGUAAAGGCCUACCAAGCCGACGAUCUGUAGCUGGUCUGAGAGGAUGAUCAGCCACACUGGGACUGAGACACGGCCCAGACUCCUACGGGAGGCAGCAGUGGGGAAUUUUGGACAAUGGGCGCAAGCCUGAUCCAGCCAUUCCGCGUGCAGGAUGAAGGCCUUCGGGUUGUAAACUGCUUUUGUACAGAACGAAAAGGCUCUGGUUAAUACCCGGGGCUCAUGACGGUACUGUAAGAAUAAGCACCGGCUAACUACGUGCCAGCCGCCGCCGUAA